rnacentral:rRNA from 1 species
UACGGAGGGUGCAAGCGUUAUCCGGAUUUACUGGGUUUAAAGGGUGCGUAGGCGGUUUGAUAAGUCAGUCGUGAAAUGCCUCCGCUUAACGGAGUGAAGUGCGAUUGAUACUGUUAGACUUGAAUAAGGUUGAGGUAGGCGGAAUGUGGCAUGUAGCGGUGAAAUGCUUAGAUAUGCCAUAGAACACCGAUUGCGAAGGCAGCUUGCUGGACCUUUAUUGACGCUGAGGCACGAAAGCGUGGGGAGCAAACAGG